rnacentral:rRNA from 1 species
GGACGAACGCUGGCGGCGUGCUUAACACAUGCAAGUCGAGCGAUGAAGCUCUUCGGAAGUGGAUAGCGGCGGACGGGUGAGUAACACGUGGGUAACCUGCCUCAUAGAGGGGGAAUAGCCUUCCGAAAGGAAGAUUAAUACCGCAUAAGAUUGUAAUAUCGCAUGAUAUAGCAAUUAAAGGAGCAAUCCGCUAUGAGAUGGACCCGCGUCGCAUUAGCUAGUUGGUGAGGUAACGGCUCACCAAGGCGACGAUGCGUAGCCGACCUGAGAGGGUGAUCGGCCACAUUGGGACUGAGACACGGCCCAGACUCCUACGGGAGGCAGCAGUGGGGAAUAUUGCACAAUGGGGGAAACCCUGAUGCAGCAAAACCGCCGCGUGAGUGAUGACGGUCUUCGGAUUGUAAAGCUCUGUCUUCAGGGACGAUAAUGACGGUACCUGAGGAGGAAGCCACGGCUAACUACGUGCCAGCAGCAGC